rnacentral:rRNA from 1 species
GAUGAACGCUGGCGGCGUGCCUAAUACAUGCAAGUCGAGCGCACAGACGAGGAGCUUGCUCCUCUGACGUUAGCGGCGGACGGGUGAGUAACACGUAGAUAACCUACCUAUAAGACUGGGAUAACUUCUGGAAACCGUAGCUAAUACCGCAUAAUAUAUUGAACCACAUGGUUCAUUAUUGAAAGACGGUUUUGCUGUCACUUAUAGAUGGACCCGCGCCGCUUUAGCUAGUUGGUAGGGUAACGGUUUACCAAGGCAACGAUGCGUAGCCGACCUGAGAGGGGGAUCGGCCACACUGGAACUGAGACACGGUCCAGCCUCCUACGGGAGGCAGCGGAAGGGAAUCUUCCGCAAUGGGCGAAAGCCUGACGGAGCAACGCGGCGUGAGGGAUGAAGGUCUUCGGAUCGUAAAACUCUGUUAUUAGGGAAGAACAAAUGUGGAAGUAACUAUGCACGUCUUGACGGUACCUAAUCAGAAAGCCACGGCUAACUACGUG